GACGAGCGCUGGCGGUGUGCUUCACACAUGCAAGUCGAACGAGGUAGCAAUACCUAGUGGCGGACGGGUGAGUAACGCGUGGGAAUCUGCCUGUAGAUGGGGGAUAACGGGUCGAAAGACUCGCUAAUACCGCAUAUGACGAAAGUUGAAAGGAGUAAUCCGUCUAAAGAUGAGCCCGCGUCCGACUAGCUAGUUGGUAGAGUAAAAGCCUACCAAGGCGACGAUCGGUAGCUGGUCUGAGAGGAUGAUCAGCCACAAUAGGGAACUGAGACACGGCCCAUACUCCUACGGGAGGCAGCAGUUGGGGAAUUUUAACGCAAUGGGCGAAAAGCCUGACGUAGCGACACCGCGUGAGCGAAGAAGCCCCCUUUGGGGUGUAAAAGCUCUGUCAGCUGA
rnacentral:rRNA from 1 species